rnacentral:rRNA from 1 species
CAGCAGCCGCGGUAAUACGAAGGGGGCUAGCGUUGCUCGGAAUGACUGGGCGUAAAGGGCGCGUAGGCGGCAUAUACAGUCAGGCGUGAAAUUCCCGGGCUUAACCUGGGGGCUGCGUUUGAUACGUAUGGGCUAGAGUGGGGAAGAGGGUCGUGGAAUUCCCAGUGUAGAGGUGAAAUUCGUAGAUAUUGGGAAGAACACCGGUGGCGAAGGCGGCGACCUGGUCCUUGACUGACGCUGAGGCGCGAAAGCGUGGGGAGCAAACAGGAUUAGAUACCCCUGUAGUCCCUGUCUCUUAUAC